rnacentral:rRNA from 1 species
UCCGAGUGGUGUGGAUGUUUAUUGGGCCUAAAGCAUCCGUAGCUGGCUAGGUCAGUCCCUUGUUAAAUCCACCGAAUUAAUCGUUGGAUUGCGGGGGAUACUGCUUGGCUAGGGGACGAGAGAGGCAGACGGUAUUUUCGGGGUAGGGGUGAAAUCCUAUAAUCCCGGGAAGACCACCAGUGGCGAAGGCUGUCUGCUAGAACGCGCCCGACGGUGAGGGAUGAAAGCUGGGGGAGCGAACCGGAUUGGAUACCCGGGUAGUCCCAGCUGUAAACGAUGCAGGCUAGGUGUUUGGACGGCCACGUGCCGUUCUAGUGCCGCAGGGAAGCUGUUAAGCCUGCCGCCUGGGGAGUACGAUCGCAAGAUUGAAACUUAAAGGAAUUGGCGGGGGAGCACCACAAGGGGUGAAGCUUGCGGUUUAAUUGGAGUCAACGCCGGAAAUCUCACCGGGAGCGACAGCAGUGUGAAGGCCAGAUUAAAGGUCUUGCCAGACGAGCUGAGA